rnacentral:rRNA from 1 species
UACGUAGGGGGCAAGCGUUGUCCGGAAUCAUUGGGCGUAAAGAGCGUGUAGGCGGCCAGAUAAGUCCGCUGUGAAAUCUCGAGGCUCAACCUCGAGCUGUCGGCGGAAACCAUCUGGCUAGAGUCCGGAAGAGGAGAAUGGAAUUCCCGGUGUAGCGGUGAAAUGCGCAGAUAUCGGGAAGAACACCCGUGGCGAAGGCGGUUCUCUGGGACGGUACUGACGCUGAGACGCGAAAGCGUGGGGAGCGAACGGG